rnacentral:rRNA from 1 species
AUUGAACGCUGGCGGCAGGCUUAACACAUGCAAGUCGAGCGGGGAAAAGUAGCUUGCUCCUUUACCUAGCGGCGGACGGGUGAGUAAUGCUUAGGAAUCUGCCUAUUAGUGGGGGACAACAUCUCGAAAGGGAUGCUAAUACCGCAUACGUCCUACGGGAGAAAGCAGGGGACCUUCGGGCCUUGCGCUAAUAGAUGAGCCUAAGUCGGAUUAGCUAGUUGGUGGGGUAAAGGCCUACCAAGGCGACGAUCUGUAGCGGGUCUGAGAGGAUGAUCCGCCACACUGGGACUGAGACACGGCCCAGACUCCUACGGGAGGCAGCAGUGGGGAAUAUUGGACAAUGGGGGGAACCCUGAUCCAGCCAUGCCGCGUGUGUGAAGAAGGCCUUUUGGUUGUAAAGCACUUUAAGCGAGGAGGAGGCUACCGAGAUUAAUACUCUUGGAUAGUGGACGUUACUCGCAGAAUAAGCACCGGCUAACUCUGUG